UACGAAGGGGGCUAGCGUUGUUCGGAAUCACUGGGCGUAAAGCGCACGUAGGUGGACUUUCAAGUCAGGGGUGAAAUCCCGGGGCUCAACCUCGGAACUGCCUUUGAUACUGUUGGUCUUGAGUCCGGAAGAGGUGAGUGGAAUUCCAGGUGUAGCGGUGAAAUGCGUAGAUAUCUGGAGGAAUACCGGUGGCGAAGGCGGCAUCCUGGACCGGCAUUGACGCUGAGGAGCGAAAGCUAGGGGAGCAAACGGG
rnacentral:rRNA from 1 species